GCACACGGGGGCGCCGAUCUCCCAUUUACCCGGCUAACAGUAAUCAGUAUCAGGAUCCAUAUAACAGUAACAGUCUCACAAACCCAUGGUGACCCACUUCAUCCCAAUUCCACACAAACAAGGCACAACAAUAUCACAUUCACAGAUAAUCAAGCAAUAUUUAAUAUCAACAAAUAGUGCAUCACAAUAUAGCAAUAAUGCAUGAUAACAUUUAGCCGUGAAUGC
rnacentral:lncRNA from 1 species